AGGAAUGAUAGUAUGACCGGUUCCUACAUCAUGUGGGGAUACAACACCCAAAGGUGAUUAGCGGAGUGAACACUAGCAUGUACUCAGGGAUAAAGAUAAGAUAAUUUCAUUAUUCAAAACCAAACCAAAUAACUAUAUAAAAUCAUACAUAUACAUAUAUAUCGUGCUGGGUUAGGGAAUCGGGUUUAGCAUGCAUUUAAAACUUUAACCUGGGCUGAGUAACUUGAUUGUCCUAAAACCAUCUAGGGCUAUAUGGGUUCAGCCUCCCCUGCU
rnacentral:lncRNA from 1 species